ACAGAACUUUCCAGAGAUGGAUUGGUGCCUUCGGGAACUGUGAGACAGGUGCUGCAUGGCUGUCGUCAGCUCGUGUUGUGAAAUGUUGGGUUAGGUCCCGCAACGAGCGCAACCCUUAUCCUUUGUUGCCAGCGGUCCGGCCGGGAACUCAAAGGAGACUGCCAGUGAUAAACUGGAGGAAGGUGGGGAUGACGUCAAGUCAUCAUGGCCCUUACGACCAGGGCUACACACGUGCUACAAUGGCGCAUACAAAGAGAAGCGACCUCGCGAGAGCAAGCGGACCUCAUAAAGUGCGUCGUAGUCCGGAUUGGAGUCUGCAACUCGACUCCAUGAAGUCGGAAUCGCUAGUAAUCGUGGAUCAGAAUGCCACGGUGAAUACGUUCCCGGGCCUUGUACACACCGCCCGUCACACCAUGGGAGUGGGUUGCAAAAGAAGUAGGUAGCUUAACCUUCGGGAGGGCGCUUACCACUUUGUGAUUCAUGACUGGGGUGAAGUCGUAACAAGGUAACCGUAGGGGAACC
rnacentral:rRNA from 1 species